rnacentral:tRNA from 1 species
GGGCUAUUAGCUCAGUUGGUAGAGCGACUGACUCUUAAUCAGUAGGCCGCAGGUUCGAAUCCCGCAUGGCCCACCA